rnacentral:lncRNA from 1 species
CUGAAAGAGUGCUGAUGCGGUUCAGACUCCGCUCUCCACCACACAGGCCCGUGUUGCCCAGGCCUGUCACAAAGCGGGGGGGGAGAAGGGCAGGUUUUGUUCUAUUCUUUAGGCUCCUUCUGUGUGAGAGGCCAUUCAGGCGCUCACUGCUUCUCCGCACCCGCGUUCUCUGCCCCUCUCCCUGGCUCACACCCUCUCUCUGUUUCUCUCUGUUAGGCCAGCAUGAGAGGAGCGCCGCUGGCUGGGAAUGUGCUUUGAUGUCGACCUCUGGCUGCCACGGCCAGACCUGCCUUGGUGGUUUCCUCUAUUUUAAGAUCGGAGAUGGUGGGGUAGGAAGAGGAAGAGAAGCCACCGUACAUCGUCUUGGCCCCAAACCACGGUGACAUUUCCACGUCAGUGUCCUGUGAGUGCUCACCAGAAAGAGGAGGCGGAAGUGUGGAGCACGAUGCGUUUUUCCCUCUCAACGUCUGAGUCUCACUGCCAUGUCCACCAUCCCUCCCCAGGGGUGGAUCACUGAGCCCCGUCUGCACAGCCUCCUCCGCAUGAAAGCCCCAGCAGAACAAUUCCUCUUUACUAUUCUAACUUUGCUUUUGUCAAUAAGCACUGAAGACAUAAAAAGAGAAGAUGGGCUUUGCUCCUGAAUGAGAGCGAUUUGACUUUCAAUAUCAAGAGAGUGGCAAAUACCUUCAGAUGUUGUGUCCUGCUGAGCCUUUUCAGAGGCAGGUUUUUGUCUGCAGAAGGCUGUUUUCUCCUCACACUAGACCCAGAGAGGUGAUCUCCUCUUUAUUUGACCUCAUGGAUGCCUCUUGGCGUGCCAAACUGGGCCCCGGUAAUUUGGGGGGAAUGGCAGGCACAAAGCCAUGUUUUCAUGAGACGCUUUCGGCCAUGCCAUAGUGAGCAGGAGUCCAGGUGCAUAAAGCUCGUCUGUCUUGUGUGUUUGGGCUGCUGCCCUUUCUCUCUCUCCAUACAGCCCCAGAGUGGCAACUUCUUAAGGCAGAGCUGUAAAGUAGGCAUGAAAUUGGCACUUUGAGAUGCUAUGCUUUUUGCAAGCUUUGAGGCACACAUCGAGA